rnacentral:lncRNA from 1 species
UUUCUUUUCUGCCUGAAGGAGAGAGCGACUAACGAGCUGAUAUUUAUUGUCUUUGGCCCAUUCAAAGCCCACCUUUGGGAAUAUUCGAACUCUUUCUCCUCCAACCAGGUGGAGAGCACAGACAGCAAAGGCAUGCCCUGAGCUUCCCUUUCCUCUUUGGUUUAGCUCCCACGGCCAAAAGAAGCCAUGGGAUCCAAGGAGCCAAGUUUCCUGGGCUUGAAUCUAUUUUCAAAUUCCAUAGAUAACGUUGAGCUCUCACAACAGAGAGCAGUUCAGUUGUUCUUUUGUACCCUGGGUAACUGCAUAGUCACUCAGGCACCAGGAUUUCAUCAUUCCCUGCCUUCCUUUUUUCCAAAAUAAUACUGUAGCCACAUUUCAGCAAGGCAGAGUUGUGCUGGUGAGUCCCAUGGCCAGCACUGCUGUGGGGAUGCUCAAGGCCACAAGCAUUUGGAGAUGCUUUAGAAGCGCUCAUGAAACUCAGCACACAGUUGGAUUUAUGACUAAGGUCUAUUGCAGUGAAAGGGUAUAUGACAGGAUCAUCAAGGGAAAAAGACACAAGUGGAUUCUGGAGAAAUCUAUGCACGGGCUUCCUUCUACUCUCUCCUUCCCAUGAGGAGACAUACCAAAUGUGUUUUUUUCAGCAGCAAAAAAUGUAUAAGGAUGUGUAUAACCUUUCUGCUCAGGAGAGCCUAUUAGAGAACCAGAGUUCAAGACUCUUUUGGGGGCUGAUUACAUAGGCAGCUUCUGCUUAGUGGGGACCAAAGUUCCAGACUCCUAGAAGGAAAGCAGAUGUUAACCAUAAAUCACGCUGUUUGGACAGUCUAGGUAGAGUAAGCCUCCCUUAUCAGUUAGGGAAUGGUUUGAAUGCCAAAUUUGCACGGGCCAGCCUUGCGAGUAGGCCCUUCUAAAGCUGACGGCUUCACACCUGCUAUGUUAACUCUCGUCUUCACACAGUCACUGAAUCAGGACGUGGGUGGGCCCAGAUCACGACUGAGAGGCUGUAUUUGCCUCAACUUCCCCUACCCUUCUUGGUUAUACAGCUGUGCUCUACGGAGCAUAGCUCAGGACAGCACAAUAGGCUCAGCUAAACAUUUUCAGCCUCUUUUCAUGACAAGGCAGUCCCACUACAGCUGUUGAUUUCAAGCAGAGAGACCAGCUUAGGUCCCUGGUGGUGUGCAGAGUGGAGAGGGUUUUAUUCCAACUCUUAUCAGCCUCCAACAGACUUCAGACCUAGAGCCCAGAGGGUCUGCAGCGUCAGCCUCACUUACAGCUUUCUGUUCUAGUUUACUUUUUCCUCCUCAAAGAUAUGGCUAUGUAUUUUAGACGUUCUUUUAAAAAAAAAUGUCAUCUUUCAUUGCUUUGUUUGGAGCUAAGCAUGGUGGGAAGGGAGAAGCUUAGACUGUGAACUUAUAAUGUCAUCUUAGCCAGAAGGUGCUCUCUUACAUUUUUAUACAUCAUUGCAGCUUUUUCUACUAAGAUUCGGGCCUGAGCCCAUGGGGGCUGAGCUGGCCUGGAGGGCAAUGUUAGUGACAGAUAUUGUGCUUUGCUCAAAGUUGCCUUUCACCUAUGUUUCUGGCCUGUUGUCCUGUGUCAGUUGACCCUCUCUUCCGGUAGGAUGAAUCAUUCCCCAUGAGGCUUGUUAGUGGGCCCGUCCGCUGUAGCCGUUUCUGAGGGGGAACCUAGCUUAGGUGCUCAAGCCGAGAUUUCCCCACUACUCAUGGAUUUUGGUCGAACAUAUGACUCAAAAUGAAACAGCAAAAUCAGAGUUUGGGCAGUCUACCAUUUCCCAAAGUCAUUCUAUCCACUGUAGGGAAUGACAAAUAGCUAACCUACAAGUAAGUCAACUACUAAUUCAUUUUUCCUAUACUAACCUAAAUGGUCCUCGUUUAAAUUAUUAACAACAUAUAUUUUGAUUACUCAGCAUCUGUUUUUCCAAUUUCUUUUUGAGAAGUUCUCUCUUUUCUAUCACGUGAGCUGCACUGGCAACACAACAAACCUAGGAGUGUGCACUUUUAGUACAGAAGUUAAAGGAGGUUUUAUUGACUCUUCCUUUUUUUUUUUUUUUUUGCUAGAUCCUGCCUGUUACCAGUCAGGCCCACCAAAGGGUUGGUAAAGGGAUGUCAGCUCAGUCAAUGAGUUGUUCUUUCCUAGGAUGCUUGACUCUUGGGUGGGUGGAGGCGAGGACUGAAGAAAAUGAUUGCUUAUUCCCACAGCAGUGCUGAGUCAACAGCUAAGCAGUUCUCGCCACGGUGAGCUUCUAUACUUGUCUACAUUAGUCUUAAGGUCUGGCGUUGACAACUGAGCAGGCCAUUUCAGACACUUGCUUUUGUGGGAAUUUAGGUGGCAGUGGAACUUAGGACUACUUAGAAAAAAAAAGAAAGAAAAAAACAUUUCAUCCUGACAAGAUGGGUUUGAACUUUGAUUCCGUCACCUGUCAUCUUGGCCAACUCUGUGUCAUCUGAAAUUUUGCCAAAGUUUGCCGAUCGUAGGCAUCAAAUUGAGCUGAAGUUGCUAGCAUGCUGCGCGUGACACCCUGGAGGGGUUUUACAAUCUGGUUCUCCUCAAGUGUUUUCUUUUAAAAUGCUGAAACAUCAUUGGUGAUCUCUGGUCUUAUAGUCUGCUUGUUUUUUGUUUUUGUUUGUUCAGUAUUUUAAAGGUUUAAUUUUUUUAAAAAAAUGAGGUUUUUUUCCCCAGUUUUCUUCUUUGUGCUUUCAUCAUAGCUAUACUAGCCUGCAUGAGCACACCUCUGACUUUUUGGAUGCACAAUAGGAUAAAGUUCAAAGUAGGGUAAAGUUCAAAACUAUGAAUAUACAUUCUCAAUGCCAUUGCUCUGUGGCUAGGAUUACAAAAUACUAUUUGUUCUUUCCUCUAAAAGUGAGUAUAUUCUGUUUCCACUCCAGACUUUUGCUAAGAGUGUGCUCCAAGAGUUAGGUUUUCCAAGGACACAAGAUGAUAAUAGAAAUUAUUCCUUCUUCCCUUCUUCAAGAGGUCUGAUGUGCUUUUCUACUCUGUAACCCUUACUUAGCUAAACUGUAGAUGAAUAUGUUUUAUAUUUUCCCAAAUCAAGUGAAAUAUCAUAUGGAUAUGAGGAGUUUCCUAUGGAUAGCUCCCCUCUGGGAUGGAGUCCUCAGGAUUAUGGAUGCUGUGAAGGGAAGAGUGGGGUGACUAGGCUGACAGAGCCCUGGGCACCAGGGCAUCGAGUCUCCACCCAGAUCCCAGGGAACUGUGCAUGGCACUGAAACAGGUGCAUCUGGACCUCAGAGAACAACUUGGCCGACAUGAAGAUUAGCUAUGACUAGAGAUUAGAUGUUACCUUUUCCUGUUUUCUGGACGCCACAACCAUCCUGGAUUUCUUUCCCUCCCAGGAGACUGAGAAUACUGACCAAGAAUUUGCCUUUAGUCUGGUGGGAUGUGUGCCCGGGGUCUGAAUCAAGUUGCUGUAAAGGAAAUAAAGUGAUGUUUACUAUAUACCUGA